rnacentral:rRNA from 1 species
GGGGGGGGGGGGGGGGGGGCCGGGGGGGGGGGGGGCGGGGGGGCGGACGGGGAGCGGGCGUCUCGGAUGUUAGCGGCGGACGGGUGAGUAACACGUGGAUAACCUACCUAUAAGACUGGGAUAACUUCGGGACACCGGAGCUAAUACCGGAUAAUAUUUUGAACCGCAUGGUUCAAACGUGAAAGACGGUCUUGCUGUCACUUAUAGAUGGAUCCGCGCUGCAUUAGCUAGUUGGUAAGGUAACGGCUUACCAAGGCAACGAUGCAUAGCCGACCUGAGAGGGUGAUCGGCCACACUGGAACUGAGACACGGUCCAGACUCCUACGGGAGGCAGCAGUAGGGAAUCUUCCGCAAUGGGCGAAAGCCUGACGGAGCAACGCCGCGUGAGUGAUGAAGGUCUUCGGAUCGUAAAACUCUGUUAUUAGGGAAGAACAUAUGUGUAAGUAACUGUGCACAUCUUGACGGUACCUAAUCAGAAAGCCACGGCUAACUACGUG